AACGAGGCCGACCUGCGGCUGAGUUACCUGCGGAAGGAUCAUUACCGAGUUUACAACUCCCAAACCCCUGUGAACAUACCACUUGUUGCCUCGGCGGAUCAGCCCGCUCCCGGUAAAACGGGACGGCCCGCCAGAGGACCCCUAAACUCUGUUUCUAUAUGUAACUUCUGAGUAAAACCAUAAAUAAAUCAAAACUUUCAGCAAUGGAUCU
rnacentral:misc_RNA from 1 species